UACGAAGGGGGCUAGCGUUGUUCGGAAUUACUGGGCGUAAAGCGCACGUAGGCGGGUCGUUAAGUCAGGGGGUGAAAUCCCGGAGCUCAACUCCGGAACUGCCUUUGAUACUGGCGAUCUAGAGAUCGAGAGAGGUGAGUGGAAUUCCGAGUGUAGAGGUGAAAUUCGUAGAUAUUCGGAAGAACACCAGUGGCGAAGGCGGCUCACUGGCUCGAUACUGACGCUGAGGUGCGAAAGCGUGGGGAGCAAACAGG
rnacentral:rRNA from 1 species